CUACCUGGGAGGCUGAGGCAGGAGAAUCACUUGAACCUGGGAGGCAGAGGUUGCAAGGAGCCAAGAUUACGACACUGUACUCCACCCUAGUGACAGAGUGAGACUCUACCUCAAAAAAAAAAAAAAAAAAAAAA